GAUAUCAGGUGAAUAAUAAUACUACUUGCACUAAUUUAAGAGGUAAUAGAAAAAAUAAUAAAAUAAUCUCUUGAACAAAAUAUGUUUCAGACGACACUUUAUUCUGUAGCGUCUUCAAUAUUUGACAUACGCCAACACCGUAAUUAAGCGUCGCCAAUAAACAUAUUUUUAUGAAAUACUGAUAAAAAUUUUUCCACUACAACAAAAACGCUAUAUAGCAACAUUUUUAAAUAUGGGUACAAGUAAAAAAAUGUGCUGCUGACUAAAUUACAGACACUUUUUAAAAGUGUUGCUAUAUGUGGGAUCGCUAGGUAUAUAGUGACACUUUAAGAGUGUCGGUAUAAUUUUAAAAAAAUACUGCUAAUUUACCAACACUUAUUUAAGUAUUUAGCAACCGUCGGAACCCUACCUCGUUGGCUGCGGCACAGAGGAGGAGGAGAGCGGGGGGCUCUUCGUCUAGGGUUUCAACAGAUUGAGUGAGGGAAGAAAGAAAGAUGGGAUCUAUUUUUCUUUUUUUUUUUCUUUUCUGUUUGUAAUCGGGACGAAUGGACUGGGUGGAGUGGGUUGAGUAGAGUAAUAUUUUAUUUUUGGUUGGAUUGAAUUUUAUAUUUAGGUUUUAGUAGAAUUUUUUAAAAAUUUUGACAUAAAUAAAAUAUUUACACAAAAAUUUUCAAAAAUGUAUCGCUAUAACCUAAUUUUGUUAUAGUGUUCGACGCUAUAUUAAAGAGUCGGUACAUUUAUCUCGACAAGUUUACUUAAUGAUUCGUUGCUCGAUAUUUUUACAAGCAUCGGGAUUAGUUUUGUCGAUACUUUAAAACGUCGUUAGUUAUUAUCUGCAUACCUGCACCAUCUUCA
rnacentral:lncRNA from 1 species